rnacentral:rRNA from 1 species
CUACGUAGGGGGCGUGCGUUGUCCGGAAUUACUGGGCGUAAAGGGCGCGUAGGCAGCCGACUAAGUCUGGAGUGAAAGUCCUGUUUUCAAGGUGGGAAUAGCUUUGGAUACUGGUUGGCUUGAGUGCGGAAGAGGUAAGUGGAAUUCCCAGUGUAGCGGUGAAAUGCGUAGAGAUUGGGAAGAACACCAGUGGCGAAGGCGACUUACUGGGCCGUAACUGACGCUGAGGCGCGAAAGCGUGGGGAGCGAACAGGAUUAGAUACCCUGGUAGUCCACGCGGUAGACGAUGAAUGCUAGGUGUUGCGGGUAUCGACCCCUGCAGUGCCGGAGUCAACACAAUAAGCAUUCCGCCUGGGGAGUACGGCCGCAAGGUUGAAACUCAAAUGAAUUGACGGGG